GUCUGCAGCCAUACCAGCCUGAACACGCCCGAUCUCAUCUCAGAAGCUAAGUGGGGUUGGGCCUGGUUAGUACUUGGAUGGGAGACAGUGCACUGCUGCUGAAACAGCCUGCUGCACAGG
rnacentral:rRNA from 1 species